rnacentral:rRNA from 1 species
GACGAACGCUGGCGGCGUGCUUAACACAUGCAAGUCGAACGGAAAGGCCCUGCUUUUGUGGGGUGCUCGAGUGGCGAACGGGUGAGUAACACGUGAGUAACCUGCCCUUGACUUUGGGAUAACUUCAGGAAACUGGGGCUAAUACCGGAUAGGAGCUCCUGCUGCAUGGUGGGGGUUGGAAAGUUUCGGCGGUUGGGGAUGGACUCGCGGCUUAUCAGCUUGUUGGUGGGGUAGUGGCCUACCAAGGCUUUGACGGGUAGCCGGCCUGAGAGGGUGACCGGCCACAUUGGGACUGAGAUACGGCCCAGACUCCUACGGGAGGCAGCAGUGGGGAAUAUUGCACAAUGGGCGGAAGCCUGAUGCAGCAAUGCCGCGUGCGGGAUGAAGGCCUUCGGGUUGUAAACCGCUUUCGCCUGUGACGAAGCGUGAGUGACGGUAAUGGGUAAAGAAGCACCGGCUAACUACGUG